rnacentral:rRNA from 1 species
UACGAAGGGGCUAGCGUUGUUCGGAUUUACUGGGCGUAAAGCGCACGUAGGCGGAUCGUUAAGUCGGGGGUGAAAUCCUGGAGCUCAACUCCAGAACUGCCUUCGAUACUGGCAAUCUCGAGUCCGAGAGAGGUGAGUGGAAUUCCGAGUGUAGAGGUGAAAUUCGUAGAUAUUCGGAGGAACACCAGUGGCGAAGGCGGCUCACUGGCUCGGUACUGACGCUGAGGUGCGAAAGCGUGGGGAGCAAACAGG